rnacentral:rRNA from 1 species
CAGUCGCCGCGGUAAUACGGAGGGUGCAAGCGUUAAUCGGAAUUACUGGGCGUAAAGCGCACGCAGGCGGUUUGUUAAGUCAGAUGUGAAAUCCCCGAGCUUAACUUGGGAACUGCAUUUGAAACUGGCAAGCUAGAGUCUUGUAGAGGGGGGUAGAAUUCCAGGUGUAGCGGUGAAAUGCGUAGAGAUCUGGAGGAAUACCGGUGGCGAAGGCGGCCCCCUGGACAAAGACUGACGCUCAGGUGCGAAAGCGUGGGGAGCAAACAGGAUUAGAUACCCGUGUAGUCCCUGUCUCUUAUAA